rnacentral:rRNA from 1 species
CGGAGGAUCCAAGCGUUGUCCGGAUUUAUUGGGUUUAAAGGGUGCGUAGGCGGAUCUUUAAGUCAGUGGUGAAAGCCUGCAGCUUAACUGUAGAACAGCCAUUGAAACUGAAGAUCUUGAAUUAGGUUAAAGUAGGCGGAAUGUAUCAUGUAGCGGUGAAAUGCUUAGAUAUGAUACAGAACACCGAUAGCGAAGGCAGCUUGCUGAACCUAUAUCGACGCUGAGGCACGAAAGCGUGGGGAGCAAACAGGAUUAGAUACCCUGGUAGUCCACGCCCUAAACGUUGAUUACUCGUUGUUGGCGAUAUACUGUCAGCGACCAAGCUAAAGCGUUAAGUAAUCCACCUGGGAAGUACGACCGCAAGGUUG